rnacentral:misc_RNA from 1 species
UCACUACUUGCGUAGGCAGUUGGUCUAGAGUUCCCACCAUUAUGUGCUGGCAACUAGACCCAGGGGUUGCGCUCGUUGCUGGACUUAACCAAACACCUCACGGCACGAGCUGACGACAGCCAUGCAGCACCUGUACAGCCCCCCUUGCGGGUACACAGCUUUCACUGCUUUAGACUGCUUUUCAAGCCUAGGUAAGGUUCUUCGCGUUGCAUCGAAUUGAACCACAUGCUCCACUGCUUGUGCGGGCCCCCGUCAAUUCCUUUGAGUUUCACCCUUGCGAGCGUACUCCCCAGGUGGUUCACUUAUCGCGUUAGCUUCGACACCUACCCUGAGGGCAGACAUCAAGUGAACAUCGUUUAGGGCAUGGACUAC